rnacentral:rRNA from 1 species
CCUACGGGUGGCAGCAGUGAGGAAUAUUGGUCAAUGGACGAGAGUCUGAACCAGCCAAGUAGCGUGAAGGAUGACUGCCCUAUGGGUUGUAAACUUCUUUUAUAUGGGAAUAAAAUGUUCCACGUGUGGGAUUUUGUAUGUACCAUAUGAAUAAGGAUCGGCUAACUCCGUGCCAGCAGCCGCGGUAAUACGGAGGAUCCGAGCGUUAUCCGGAUUUAUUGGGUUUAACGGGAGCGUAGGUGGAUUGUUAAGUCAGUGGUGAAAGUUUGCGGCUCAACCGUAAAAUUGCAGUUGAAACUGGCAGUCUGGAGUACAGUAGAGGUAGGCGGAAUGCGUGGUGUAGCGGUGAAAUGCUUAGAUAUCAUGAAGAACUCCGAUUGCGAAGGCAGCUCACUGGACUACAACUGACACUGAGGCACGAAAGUGUGGGUAUCAAACAGGAUUAGAUACCCUUGUAGUC